AAAGUCGUAACAAGGUUUCCGUAGGUGAACCUGCGGAAGGAUCAUUACCAAAAGAAAAAAAAACCCCCCUUUAAAAGAUAGUCGAGUACUUGUGGAGUUUACUUCAAAAAGGCUCGGUUAUUUUUUAUUAAACACCUUGUGAACUCAAUGUACCGUCCUUGGGGGGAGGGAGGGAGGUUCGAACGGAGAAAUCCAGGAAAACCGCGCCCCACCCCCCCCAACAGUCUUUGAAUCGUUCUUUGGACGAGGAUAGGCAACAACUUUACGAAACACAAUCUCAACCAUUGAUGGAAACUUUUUUGAUGAAAAUCAUAAACAACUUUUAACGGUGGAUCUCUUGGCUCGU
rnacentral:misc_RNA from 1 species